CUUAAGAAGAAUUAAUCGAACUAUUCGAAGAUAGUUUAUUUAAAAUAAACUGCAAUUGAAAAAAAUGAAUACAUUCCUGGUUGUCUGUUCAAGAAACUUAUCCAAUUGUUUCCAAUGCAGCAGCUGUAAAGAUGUUACUUCCAUCCAUUUCAUCAUAUAAAUGUGAAGUUGAAAUUUCAGCAAUGGUUGCUAUCAAAACCAAUUACGGAGAAAAUUGGUAUAGUCAAAC